rnacentral:rRNA from 1 species
GACGAACGCUGGCGGCGUGCUUAACACAUGCAAGUCGAACGAAGAGCGAUGGAAGCUUGCUUCUGUCAAUCUUAGUGGCGAACGGGUGAGUCACGCGUAAUCAACCUGCCCUUCAGAGGGGGACAACAGUUGGAAACGACUGCUAAUACCGCAUACGAUCUAAUCUCGGCAUCGAGGAUAGAUGAAAGGUGGCCUCUACAUGUAAGCUAUCACUGAAGGAGGGGAUUGCGUCUGAUUAGCUAGUUGGAGGGGUAACGGCGCACCAAGGCGAGGAUCAGUAGCCGGAAGGAGAGGAUGGGUAGCCGCAUUGGGAGGGUGACAGGGCACAGAGGGCUACGGGAGGCAGCAGUGGGGAAUCUUGCGCCAUGGGCGAGAGUCUGACCGCGCAACGCCGAAUGAGGGAGGAGCGCCGUCGGGUUGGAGAGGUCGGUUUUUCGGGAGGAAAGGGCUUCUGGCUGAGAGGGAGCAGGAUUGACGGUAACGGAAAAGGAAGCAACGGCUAACUACGUG